rnacentral:rRNA from 1 species
UGGCCGUAAACGAUGUGGACUUGGUGUUGGAAUGGCUCCGAGCUGCUCCAGUGCCGAAGGGAAGCUGUUAAGUCCACCGCCUGGGAAGUACGGUCGCAAGACUGAAACUUAAAGGAAUUGGCGGGGAGCACCACAACGGGUGGUGCCUGCGGUUUAAUUAGGACUCAACGCCGGGAAGCUCACCGGAUAAGACAGCGGAAUGAUUGCCGGGCUGAAGACCCUGCAUGACCAGCUGAGAGGUGGUGCAUGGCGUAGUCGUGU